GGGCGCGGUGAUUUCGAUUCGUGCGGUUGUACCAGGAGGUUCUUGAGUGUUUUAUUUGCUUUUGCUAUCGGGAACAGCCCACGGUGGCCCAGGGUAUAAAAUAUUACUGGUUAUUAUCUAUUGAUAUUCCUAUAGUAUCAUUUCCUUCACUAGUCCUCAUCCCCGCCGCCACUGACUCCUCCCCUCUCGCCCUCUCCAAGGCAUUCACACGAGCGUCUAGAUCUCGUCGCGCAACGCGGCCGGUGCCGGCAGGUGCAGCGUCCAGGCCUCAUCCCCCGCAUGGCUGACGCGGCUGCCGGCGUGUCCCUCGCACCCCACUUCAGAGCGUUCAGAUCCGUCAACUACGCACAUCGUCGUCUUCUAGUUGUGCUGCAAGAGUCACAAUUGUUGUCAGGCUGAACACACUGCAGCAUGCAACUACAAAUCUUGGAAUAUGUGGCGGUUGAGCUUAGGAUGUGGGGAGGAUUACAAUUGUUCAGAUCAGGCCAUGAGUGCUGCUACCUUGCCGAGAUGUAGAACAGGAUCCUCAGGUUCACACCAACUUAAUUAUUCUUUUGAUUUGAAUGAGGAUAUUUUGGCAGAGGAAGAAAUAGAUGAGGAAUGUUGGUUUCAUGAUCCCACAUGGGUGCUAUCUAAGAGGAUGACAAACCUGUGUUGACUACAGUACAAGAAAGGUUUACUUCAGGUGGGCAAAGGGAACAGAACAACAAGCUAGAAAGGUUGUCCACAAUUGUUUCAGGGGGCUCUUUCAGGACCUGUUAUGAAAGCCACAUCCUGACCGUGCUGAAUUACCAAAAGGAAAUUCGUAAAGAUGAAAACUUCUCGGUCAAUUGCUUGCAGGACUUAUCUGACGGAGGAGUACCUAAAGAUUGUAGGAGAUGAAGAAAAAGAAACCGGUGGCUGUACUAGAGGCCUAUGCAGAAGGAAGGAAGAUCAAGCUGAUGGGCAAUUUAGCUGGGACACUCAUGUAGCUGAAAAGCUUAAAGAUGGCUUGUAUGGCAGUUUUAUAAUUGAUCUUGGAGAAGAACACAAUGAUUCUGAGAAGGCUCUAACUAGUAGGUAUACCGAAGACAUUUGCAAUAAAAAGAGUUGGAGUUCUCACUCUAUCAUCUAUUGAAGAUAAUGACGAUGACGAUGAAUCUUACAGUACUGACUCAUCUAAUGAAUACGAGGAAUGUCCCACCACCAGGGAUAUCUUAUUUGAUUAAUAUUUCUAAGGUAUAUAAUGUUGUGCAAAGGACACUGGAGCUCAUUUGUGCAGUCAGUGGACAUUUGGUUAGUGAACCAGACUUCUAUUGCCUCCCUAGGAGAGAUUGUAAGAACUGAUGCUUCUGCAUCACGUGUCUCCAGUAUGUUGUAGAUCCAUUCGUAUUGUGUAUUAUCAUACCAUGUUCUUAGUAAUACCAAGAGAAUCUGCAGCUGAUGUUUUACAUGAUUAUUUUGUGGUGCCAAUUUGUUUGUGUGCCUGUCACGGUGGGACGAAAUAAUGUGUGUACCUAUUAUUUCUUAAUUGCCUCAUUAUUACCGUACCAUCUUGUAUAUAUAUGUAUAUAUUAUAUAAAAGCCAGGUGCACAACGG